rnacentral:rRNA from 1 species
GUCCUGAAGGAACGUUGAAGACGACGACGUUGAUAGGCCGGGUGUGUAAGCGCAGCGAUGCGUUGAGCUAACCGGUACUAAUGAACCGUGAGGCUUAACUUU